GAUGAACGCUAGCGAUGGGCUUAACACAUGCAAGUCGAGCGGCAGCAUGGUCUUAGCUUGCUAAGCCUGAUGGCGACCGGCGCACGGGUGCGUAACGCGUAUGCAACUUGCCUCACAGAGGAGGAUAAGCUGUCGAAGCACGUACUAGUAACGAGUACACUCCAUCUUGGGCAUCCAGGGAAGAGGCAGUGAAAUUGGCUGUACGAGAGGCAUGCGUGCCAUUAGCUAGUUGGUGAGGUAACGGCUCACCAAGGCGACGAUGGGUAGGGGAGCUGAGAGGUGGAGCCCCGAGACUGGUACUGAGCCAAGGACCACACUACUACGGCAGGCAGUAGUGAGGAAGACAGGUGAAGGGGCGAGAGCCUGAACCAGCGAAGCCGCGUGCAGGAUGACUGUGUGAGGGAUUGCAGCCUUCUGGUAGACGGGCGCUAUAGGAGUUAAGGGUGAGUCAGUGAAGGUACCGGAUAAAUAAGCAUCGGCUAACUACGUG
rnacentral:rRNA from 1 species